rnacentral:rRNA from 1 species
AUUGAACGCUGGCGGCAUGCCUUACACAUGCAAGUCGAACGGCAGCGGACCUUCGGGUGCCGGCGAGUGGCGAACGGGUGAGUAAUAUAUCGGAACGUACCUUUCAGUGGGGGAUAACGUAGCGAAAGUUACGCUAAUACCGCAUAUUCUGUGAGCAGGAAAGCAGGGGAUCGCAAGACCUUGCGCUGAUUGAGCGGCCGAUAUCAGAUUAGCUAGUUGGUGAGGUAAAGGCUCACCAAGGCGACGAUCUGUAGCGGGUCUGAGAGGAUGAUCCGCCACACUGGAACUGAGACACGGUCCAGACUCCUACGGGAGGCAGCAGUGGGGAAUUUUUGGACAAUGGGCGCAAGCCUGAUCCAGCCAUGCCGCGUGAGUGAAGAAGGCC